rnacentral:lncRNA from 1 species
GCUCAGGCCCAGGUUGGCCUCAAUGGUCUUAGAGUCUAUGAUUUUAUGAAAGUCUUUUGUGAACUUUCUGGCUAUAACAAGAACAACUAAUAUUAUGGUAUUCAUUUCAUGGUGCAAGGGACACGGUACUCAGGGGGUGAGGCCCAAGGUCCAGGACUGGAGCUUUGAGGUUCAUCUGGCUCCAGCAGGUUUCCAUAGUGAUGGAAUGGACCACUGGCUACAGCAGCCCUCCCCCUAUAAGGGGCAAUGGAUUUACCCUGUUGCCUGGAGACCGAACUCAAACAGAGACCCAGAGAGAGCACCCGGGCACUGGCUCUGGAGGGGUUAAGAACGAGUCCCGGAAAGGAUAAUGGAGCCGAGUAACCCCAGCAAAGUGAAGCCUCAGCUCAAGCUGGAGGGAGAUGACAGGAAGAAGAAGGCAGCAUCUGUAGGCCCCCUCCCCAGGCAGGACUUACCUCCCGCCCCAGCACUCAGGCUGCCUCCUGCUGGAUUAAUAUUUCUCAACAUAUAAUUAAAUACUAUUUUUGUGAUUAAUCACUAUGUUUAAAUUAUGUUUGAUUUGUAGCAAUGAGCAUACAUAAUGCAUAUCAGGUAUUUACAUUCCAAAUCAUAACUGUAGCAAAAUUACAGUUUUGAAGUAGCCACCAAAAUAAUUUUUUGGUUUGGGGUCACUGCAACAUGAGGAACUGUAUUGCGGGGUCACGGCAUUAGAAAGGUUGAGAACCACUGCCUUAGGGUCUUCAAUGUCUGACCAAGGUCUAAGCUCUCCACCGAGCCUGUAGUGGGAGCUUCUAUUAUUUCUCUGUUUCCUACAGUUUAGACCCACUGUGUAAGGGGGAUCCCUGACCUCUUUUAUAGAUAGGGAAAAUACAGAAUCAAAGAAUUUCAGAACUCAAACAGACUUCAGUAAUCAUCCUGUCUGAGGGAGAAGAAAGGGGGAAAUACAUUGUGGCUUCAGAGCAUGUGGAUUAAAAUCCUGGUUUUGACAUGAAUGGAAUUUAUGUAGGAAAUGAUAAUGGUCAGUACUGAUGUCUGUUCUUUUAUCCAUUUCCCAUUUUUUCAUAUUAAUAACUUUUUGUUGUUGUUUUCUUCUUUCUAAUAGGGCAGGUUUAUAGGAUCUUAGCAUUUUAAAUUAGACCUGGCUGAGUGUGGUAAUGCAGGUCUAUAGUCCCUGCCACUGGGAAAGCUGAUGCUAGUGGAUCUCUUGAGUGUGUAGAAGAGGCAUGAAGGAAGAGAGAAUUUUCAUGCAUGCAAGAUAAAAAGCUGGGGACCUGAUCUGCCAAUCAAGGUGAAAAUUCCAAAAUAGAAUGUUCCUAGGAAAGGCCAGUUGGAGCCUGGCCAGAGGAGAUGAACUGAGAGAGUUCUUCUCUGGUGUUUCUGACCAAAGAAGGGACUGGUUUUUCUGACCUAGGCAGAGAGAGACCUUUGUGGUUUUAGACAGUCUGGACUUGAAUUACUCAAGCAAAGAUUAUCUGAUUGGUUUAAAGAAGAAAAGAAUAUUAAACAGUUGUCCUCCACCUCUGACUGUCCCUGAGUCACAAUUGUGACAGGACUGACAUUUCCCAAACUCCUCCUAUCCCUCAUUAUAAAUUAGGGAAACCCUCAUCCCUCUCACCUCAUUUUACUUCAGUUCUCCAUCCAGUUGUUCCCAAUAAACCCCCUUACUUGAGAAAAGAAAAGUAAAGA